rnacentral:rRNA from 1 species
GAUGAACGCUGGCGGCGUGCCUAAUACAUGCAAGUCGAGCGAACGGACGAGAAGCUUGCUUCUCUGAUGUUAGCGGCGGACGGGUGAGUAACACGUGGAUAGCCUACCUAUAAGACUGGGAUAACUUCGGGAAACCGGAGCUAAUACCGGAUAAUAUUUUGAACCGCAUGGUUUAAAAGUGAAAGACGGUCUUGCUGUCACUUAUAGAUGGAUCCGCGCUGCAUUAGCUAGUUGGUAAGGUAACGGCUUACCAAGGCAACGAUGCAUAGCCGACCUGAGAGGGUGAUCGGCCACACUGGAACUGAGACACGGUCCAGACUCCUACGGGAGGCAGCAGUAGGGAAUCUUCCGCAAUGGGCGAAAGCCUGACGGAGCAACGCCGCGUGAGUGAUGAAGGUCUUCGGAUCGUAAAACUCUGUUAUUAGGGAAGAACAUAUGUGUAAGUAACUGUGCACAUCUUGACGGUACCUAAUCAGAAAGCCACGGCUAACUACGUG